UUCUCACACAGGGGCAUAAGGUAAAAAUAACCUCAGCUAAGUUCACUGGGGCGAGGUUGAAUGAACUUUUUUCUUCCAUGAAAGACAACACAGCAACAAAUAACAACAACAACAUCAAACUAAGUAAUGGAAAAAGUUGUUAACGAAGACAACCAAAAGAAGACCAAAAUGAUGAUCAUGAUGUUGGUGAUGAUGGAACAAAAUGAAAAUAUAUUGCCGCAAAAAUUGUUUUUGUUGUUGGUUGCUGGAGAGAAAAAAACAAAACAAAACAAAACAAAGUAUUAAAGACAACAACCAUAUGAAAAACAUUGACAACUGGUUACAAAUGAACCAGGCAAACAAACGUAUAACUAGCAACCAGCCAGUCAGCCAACAACCAACCAACUAUCAUCAUCAUUAUUAUUGUCAGCAACAUACAUACAACAAACAGCAAUAAUAUUAAAUAAAAAUAACAACAAAUUUGUUAUUGAGAGUGGGAAGUAAAGGAAUAUUUACUGUGUAUGUGAAUUCAUCUACAAUGUAAGAGUUAAUGUAGCUGUUGUAUGUACAUAUUUUGUAAUUCAUUUACAACUCUUGCCAAAGUUGUCGUCAACAACAGCAACAAGUCGACCAAAAUCAUCAUCAUCAACAAUAACAGCAUCAAUAUACUGGGAUAUAAUGAUUAUGAGAAUGUACGAGUACACACUGAACACCAUCGAGGGAGAAAAACAUACUUGUAUGGAACACUUAAUUGUAAAAAAAAAACUUACAUAGAAAAACUAAUUUUUUAUUAAUAAAAAUCUUCGUCUAACAAGGAAAUUGUAAGUUGAUUGAAGAAAUGACGUCAUUUCAAAUACAUUUGAUGCUGUUGUUGUCAUUGCUGUUGCUGCUGCUGCUGUUGUCAUAGUUGCGGGCUAAAAAGAGUCUAACAAUUGUAUUGAAUUUCUUGGAUAUCACGAUUUUUCAUCAACAUGUCAACCCAACCGGCAAACAUAAAUUAUGUGUACGAGUACGUUUACGAGAAUCAAUCAGGAUAUAAAAUACUAAAAAUACACCACCAACAUCAUCAAACAACCAAUCAACUAAACACCACUACAUCACUUAAACAAUUGAUCCGGGAGUUUAAUAUUUUAUUUACAAUAGAUAUAUUCAACUUUUAUUUCUUCAAAAACUAAUAACAAAUUGCAAUUGACAUUUAAACAAAUAAAUCAUAA